UUGAUCCUGGCUCAGGAUGAACGCUAGCGGGAGGCUUAACACAUGCAAGUCGAGGGGUAACGAUGUAGCUUGCUACAGGCGACGACCGGCGCACGGGUGCGUAACGCGUAUGCAACUUUCCUUAUACAGGAGGAUAGCCCAGGGAAACUUGGAUUAAUACUCCAUAAUGUCACCAGGUCGCAUGGCCAGGUGAUUAAAACUCCGGUGGUAUAAGAUGGGCAUGCGUAGGAUUAGCUAGUAGGUAGUGUAACGGACUACCCAGGCAACGAUCCUUAGGGGUUCUGAGAGGAUUAUCCCCCACACUGGUACUGAGACACGGACCAGACUCCUACGGGAGGCAGCAGUGAGGAAUAUUGGUCAAUGGGCGCGAGCCUGAACCAGCCAUCCCGCGUGCAGGAUGACGGCCCUAUGGGUUGUAAACUGCUUUUCUACGCCAAGAAAGGCCCGUACGAGUACGGGAUUGACGGUAGCGUAGGAAUAAGCAUCGGCUAACUCCGUGCCAGCAGCCGCGGUAAUACGGAGGAUGCAAGCGUUAUCCGGAUUCAUUGGGUUUAAAGGGUGCGCAGGCGGGCUUGUAAGUCAGUGGUGAAAUACUGCCGCUUAACGGUAGAAUUGCCAUUGAUACUGCGAGUCUUGAGUAUGGUUGAGGUAGGCGGAAUGUGCAGUGUAGCGGUGAAAUGCAUAGAGAUUGCACAGAACGCCGAUUGCGGAGGCAGCUUACUAAGCCAUAACUGACGCUGAGGCACGAAAGCGUGGGGAGCGAACAGGAUUAGAUACCCUGGUAGUCCACGCUGUAAACGAUGUUCACUCGCUGUUUGCGAUACACAGUAAGCGGCUGAGCGAAAGCAUUCAGUGAACCAACUGGGGAGUACGAUCG
rnacentral:rRNA from 1 species